GUGAGUGCAUGACUGCACCAUCGUGCACAGGGAUGUAGAGGGCCGGUGACUGUGCAGUUGGGGCUGUGUCCCGCGUUUCUAUUGUUAAGAGGAAGAGUAAAGAACGAUUAUUGAACAUCUAGAGGCCAAGAUCAAGAUCAACAGACAAGAAAUCAAGGUACAGAAGAACUCAAUGCCAUCUAUAGAUUGAC